GGUCCUUGCAUGGAAACGCUCAUUAGCCUUUCAAAGUUAGAGGCAUAACUUUCUUUUUACUCCUUGGUACUUUUACUCUUGUGAUCUAGCCCACCAUUUAAGCCUGCAAGACUUAGUCACACACGCUAACAGCCAGCUCAGAGUAGAUAAUGAUUUUAGAUCAAAACUCUGUGCAGACCAAAAAAGCAUGGACUGAAAUGGGAGUUAUCAGGACCAAGCCAACUUCAGAUGCCUGAAUGAAAUAGCAAAAAUGGAUUCUCCUCUCUUCUGUGGGCUGCCUACGUGUUACAGUAUCAGUGUGCAUUUCCCACUGUGGACUUCCAGCUUGUUACAGAAUCAGUGUGCACUGGACACUCAAAUACAUGUGAGAUCUCUGCCUCUUAUUUUCAGCUACCCCCAAGUCUCCUAACCGAAGCACCUCCUCCCUGAUGAGGGUGAUCACUGGCUAUAAGCCUGGAGCUCCUAUACCCAGGGUCUGGGAAGCUGCUCUUUCCGGAAGGGUGGUAGAGACCCUGGGAACCAGACCAGCCGGGCUCACAAGUAUGAAGAGAAUGUCGGGAGAGGAAGUGGUGGCUCUGAGUCAGCAUGAGUCAUCUGGUUCCAGUGACAAUGAAGACUGAGGUGUGUGCUCUGCGCUUUUUUCUUGUCUUUUUUUUUUUUUUUUCCUAAUCAUGUGGACAUCUCUGAGAAUGAAGGGACUGGGUGACUUUACAGUGGCUGCUUUCUAAGUUUCAAAGUGACUUUCCAGGCAAGCUGAGCAUAUCUUGGGAUCUUCACAGCACAGUGGCUGGGAAGGCAGACCGUCUAUCAGCUUCUCCCUGAAUAACUGGGAGCUGAAACAGGAAGCCCCAUGACACAGUUGAUCGAAAAUGACACAGACACAGAAAAAUCAGGACGUGCCCCCAGCAGCACCCCUACCUGCUGCCUGCUGAUCGAAGCUGGGAGGCCCGUGAAGGGUUUCCACCAGGAAUGAACUCUACUCCAUACUCACGGGUGAUGGGCCUGCAAUCCUUGCUUUGGUGAUGUUCUUUUACAGCUGGUUUGUUUGUUUGUUUAAUUAAUUAGUUAGUCUACUAUUACUUUAUUUAUUGGCCCUCUUCCAUGUCGUGAUCUUUUCUUCAUUAAAAGCAAAACUAAAGAAAAUGAAA
rnacentral:sRNA from 1 species